rnacentral:rRNA from 1 species
GGUAACGGCUCACCAAGGCGACGAUACAUAGCCGACCUGAGAGGGUGAUCGGCCACACUGGGACUGAGACACGGCCCAGACUCCUACGGGAGGCAGCAGUAGGGAAUCUUCGGCAAUGGACGGAAGUCUGACCGAGCAACGCCGCGUGAGUGAAGAAGGUUUUCGGAUCGUAAAGCUCUGUUGUAAGAGAAGAACGAGUGUGAGAGUGGAAAGUUCACACUGUGACGGUAUCUUACCAGAAAGGGACGGCUAACUACGUGCCAGCAGCCGCGGUAAUACGUAGGUCCCGAGCGUUGUCCGGAUUUAUUGGGCGUAAAGCGAGCGCAGGCGGUUAGAUAAGUCUGAAGUUAAAGGCUGUGGCUUAACCAUAGUACGCUUUGGAAACUGUUUAACUUGAGUGCAAGAGGGGAGAGUGGAAUUCCAUGUGUAGCGGUGAAAUGCGUAGAUAUAUGGAGGAACA